rnacentral:rRNA from 2 species
CAGCAACGGAUCUCUUGGCUCUCGCAUCGAUGAAGAACGCAGCGAAAUGCGAUAAGUAAUGUGAAUUGCAGAAUUCAGUGAAUCAUCGAAUCUUUGAACGCACCUUGCGCUCCUUGGUAUUCCGAGGAGCAUGCCUGUUUGAGUGUCAUUAA